rnacentral:rRNA from 1 species
UACGGGGGGUGCAAGCGUUAAUCGGAAUCACUGGGCGUAAAGGGUGCGUAGGCGGUACGUUAGGUCUGUCGUGAAAUCCCCGGGCUCAACCUGGGAAUGGCGGUAGAAACCGGCGCACUAGAGUAUGGGAGAGGGUGGUGGAAUUCCAGGUGUAGCGGUGAAAUGCGUAGAGAUCUGGAGGAACAUCAGUGGCGAAGGCGGCCACCUGGCCCAAUACUGACGCUGAGGCACGAAAGCGUGGGGAGCAAACAGGAUUAGAUACCCUGGUAGUCCACGCCCUAAACGAUGAAUACUAGAUGUUUGGUACCUAGCGUACUGAGUGUCGUAGCUAACGCGAUAAGUAUUCCGCCUGGGAAGUACGGCCGCAAGGUUAAAACUCAAAGGGAUUGACGGGGGCCCGCACAAGCGGUGGAGCAUGUGGUUUAAUUCGAUGCAACGCGAAGAACCUUACCUGGGCUUGACGUGUCCGGAAUUCUGCAGAGAUGCGGGAGUGCCCUUCGGGGAAUCGGAACACAGGUGCUGCAUGGCUGUCGUCAGCUCGUGUCGCGAGAUGUUGGGUUAAGUCCCGCAACGAGCGCAACCCUUGUCCUUAGUUGCCAGCGGUUCGGCCGGGCACUCUAGGGAGACUGCCGGUGACAAACCGGAGGAAGGUGGGGAUGACGUCAAGUCCUCAUGGCCUUUAUGUCCAGGGCUACACACGUGCUACAAUGGCGCGUACAGAGGGAAGCCAAGCCGCGAGGUGGAGCAGACCCCAGAAAGCGCGUCGUAGUUCGGAUUGCAGUCUGCAACUCGACUGCAUGAAGUCGGAAUCGCUAGUAAUCGCGGAUCAGCAUGCCGCGGUGAAUACGUUCCCGGGCCU